rnacentral:rRNA from 1 species
UGGGUGAUCUGCCCUACACUUUGGGAUAAGCCUGGGAAACUGGGUCUAAUACCGGAUAUGACUCCUCAUCGCAUGGGUGGGGGGUGGAAAGCUUUAUUGUGGUUUUGGAUGGACUCGCGGCCUAUCAGCUUGUUGGUGAGGUAAUGGCUCACCAAGGCGACGACGGGUAGCCGGCCUGAGAGGGUGACCAGCCACACUGGGACUGAGACACGGCCCAGACUCCGUACGGGAGG